AACGAACGCUGGCGGCAGGCCUAACACAUGCUAGUCGAACGCCCCGCAAGGGGAGUGGCAGACGGGCGAGUAACACGUGGGAACCUUCCCUAUAGUACGGAAUAGCCCAGGGAAACUUGGAGUAAUACCGUAUACGCCCGAAAGGGGAAAGAAUUUCGCUAUAGGAUGGGCCCGCGUAGGAUUAGCUAGUUGGUGAGGUAAUGGCUCACCAAGGCGACGAUCCUUAGCUGGUUUGAGAGAACGACCAGCCACACUGGGACUGAGACACGGCCCAGACUCCUACGGGAGGCAGCAGUGGGGAAUAUUGGACAAUGGGCGCAAGCCUGAUCCAGCCAUGCCGCGUGAGUGAUGAAGGCAUUAGGGUUGUAAAGCUCUUUUGCCGGGGACGAUAAUGACGGUACCCGGAGAAUAAGUCCCGGCUAACUUCGUGCCAGCCGCCGCCGUAACAC
rnacentral:rRNA from 1 species